rnacentral:tRNA from 1 species
ACUCACUGCCAUAUUGACCAUGUCGGCAGAAUACCCUAUCUACUGGCCGCUGGUUUUAAUAAACCCAUCUAUGCCACCGUUGCGA